rnacentral:misc_RNA from 1 species
UCCGGUUUAGCACCGGCAGUCUCCCCAGAGUCCUCGCCAUCACGCGUUAGCAACUGGGAACGGGGGUUGCGCUCGUUGCGGGACUUAACCCAACAUCUCACGACACGAGCUGACGACAGCCAUGCAGCACCUGUGCACGGGCUCCGAAGAGGGCCGACCGUUUCUGGUCAGUUUCCCGUGUAUGUCAAGCCUAGGUAAGGUGGGGAUGACGUAGCGGCAUUAGCCA